GGGGCUGCAAUACUUCGCACCCCGGAGCGGGGACGGGGUCUGGAAGCGGCAGCCCCGGGCCCGGCCAGGGGCCGCCCGGCGCUGUCCUGCCCGGCUUGCUUCUCCUCGCAGCAGACGGCGCCGCGGCCGUAACUCCGAUGGAUCUCUUCCCCCUCCCCUGGAUGUCAAUUAUUUCUGCAAGAAAUUUCCAAGAGAGUUGUGGCUUCCUCCCUGCUGUAUUCUGCUGGCCAUACAGAUUUUGACCCUGUUGAGAUGAAGAGAAAUGUGAAUUACAAGAUGCCUCCAUUUUGAUAGUAGCUGGUGUCUUCAUUGAUGUAAGUUGUCUCCCAACUGUAGUAGAUGGGAAGAAUGAUUUUUAUAUCACGCUUUUUAUGCUGAACUUUGCUGCCCUAAUGGCUGUAAAUAAACCCCAUGGGGUUUGCACUGACUGAUGUGUCACACACACGCCACUGUAAGCUGCCAAAAUACAUCCUGGUAGAAAGUUUCUUGGACUUGUAUGUUUUGCUCUUUAGUGAAAAGACCUGGUUAAUUUUUAUUUAACUUUGCUACACUAACUCGGGUUGAAAUAAAGUUCAGUCUUAACUUACGUGUAUGAUUUGUGGUGACUUAUGAAUUACAUUGGAGAAAUAUUUCCAAAAGUCCUGGGUACAAUAUUUUCUAAAUAGACUUAAAUAUUUUGAAGGGAAACUUCAAAGUUUCUAAGUUGAGUGCUUGAUUUCAAAGUGGAAAAUUAAAGUUCACCUCUUACAGAUGGCAGCUGUUGACAGAAUGUGCUUGCUUUCGUCUUCUGCUACUCCCACACCUGUAUCAUGUAAAAAUUAUCAAUUUUUUCUCUUUGGAGCAAAAGUAGAUGUACUUGACACUUGGUUUAAGCAGGGACUUCACAUCUCUAAUUUAUAUAUCUAAAACAGUCACAGACUUCAGGGGAACCACUGGGAGCAAAGAGCCUCUCCCCUGAGGCACUAAAUACAUAAGAAUCCUGAAGCCUUCUCUAUCCUAGCUAUAGGGAUCUGUUCCUAAACUGGAUUACUGACGAUUUCUGCCAGUGGGCAGUGGCCCAUGCUUUCAUCUUUUCAAAGCCAGAGGUUUGGGGAUGUUGUGCUUUUAAUCAUCAUCCUUUUCCUCAGCUCUUCCUAUCCCUUCAGAUUCCUCAGUUUACCAAAGUCUGAUUGCAGAGGCUUGUGAUGGGGAGGUCAAUACUAUAAGAUCCAAAUCACAUCUUGCCAUUAAAGGAAGAGGUCCUGGUGCAGAAGAAGCUUUUAUCAAGGCAUUGAUAAAAGUCAUUGAAAUUCUAUAGAACAAACUCAGUAAAUAUACAAGCGAAAUA